rnacentral:rRNA from 1 species
GACGAACCGUACGAACGUUAUUCGGAAUCACUGGGCUUAAAGGGUGCGUAGGCGGCGCUGAAAGUUGGGUGUGAAAUCCCUCGGCUCAACCGAGGAACUGCGCCCAAAACUACAGUGCUCGAGGGAGAUAGAGGUGAGCGGAACUUAGGGUGGAGCGGUGAAAUGCGUUGAUAUCCUAAGGAACGCCAGGGGCGAAAGCGGCUCACUGGAUCUCUUCUGACGCUGGGGCACGAAAGCUAGGGUAGCGAACGGG